rnacentral:rRNA from 1 species
CUACGGGACGCUCCAGUGAGGAAUAUUGCACAAUGGGGGGAACCCUGAUGCAGCAACGCCGCGUGGAGGAUGACACAUUUCGGUGUGUAAACUCCUUUUAUAUGUCAAGAAAAUGACGGUAGCAUAUGAAUAAGCACCGGCUAACUCCGUGCCAGCAGCCGCGGUAAUACGGAGGGUGCAAGCGUUACUCGGAAUCACUGGGCGUAAAGGACGCGUAGGCGGGUUGGAAAGUCAGGUGUGAAAUCCUACAGCUUAACUGUAGAACUGCACUUGAAACUUCUAAUCUAGAGUAUGGGAGGGGAGAUGGAAUUAGUGGUGUAGGGGUAAAAUCCGUAGAUAUCACUAGGAAUACCUAAGGCGAAGGCGAUCUCCUGGAACAUUACUGACGCUAAGGCGUGAAAGCGUGGGGAGCAAACAGGAUUAGAUACCCCUGUAGUC